UACGUAGGGUGCAAGCGUUGUCCGGAAUUAUUGGGCGUAAAGGGCUCGUAGGCGGUCUGUUGCGUCGGGAGUGAAAACUCAGGGCUUAACCCUGAGCCUGCUUCCGAUACGGGCAGACUAGAGGUAUGCAGGAGAGAACGGAAUUCCUGGUGUAGCGGUGAAAUGCGCAGAUAUCAGGAGGAACACCGGUGGCGAAGGCGGUUCUCUGGGCAUUACCUGACGCUGAGGAGCGAAAGUGUGGGGAGCGAACAGG
rnacentral:rRNA from 1 species